GUNCANGANCCAUGCAUGUCUAAGUACAUGCCGUAUUAAGGCGAAACCGCGAAUGGCUCAUUAAAUCAGCUUAUGGUUCCUUGGAUCGUACCUUACUACUUGGAUAACUGUGGUAAUUCUAGAGCUAAUACAUGCAGCAGAGCUCCGACCUUCGGGGACGAGCGCUUUUAUUAGACCAAAACCAAUCGGACUCUGUCCGUCUCUUGUGGUGACUCUGAAUAACUUUGGGCUGAUCGCACGGGCCCGUCCCGGCGACGUAUCUUUCAAGUGUCUGCCUUAUCAACUUUCGAUGGUAGGUUACGCGCCUACCAUGGUCGUAACGGGUAACGGGGAAUCAGGGUUCGAUUCCGGAGAGGGAGCCUGAGAAACGGCUACCACAUCCAAGGAAGGCAGCAGGCGCGCAAAUUACCCACUCCCAGAACGGGGAGGUAGUGACGAAAAAUAACAAUACGGGACUCUUUUGAGACCCCGUAAUUGGAAUGAGUACACUCUAAAUCCUUUAACGAGGAUCCAUUGGAGGGCAAGUCUGGUGCCAGCCGCCGCGGUAACUCCAGCUCCAAUAGCGUAUAUUAAAGUUGUUGCGGUUAAAAAGCUCGUAGUUGGAUCUCAGUUCCAGACGGGUGGUCCGCCUACCGGUGGUUACUGCCUGUUCUGAACAGCCAGCCGGUUUCUCUUGAUGAUCUUCACCGGUUGUCUUGGGUGACCGGCAAGUUUACUUUGAAAAAAUUAGAGUGCUCAAAGCAGGCGCGACGCCUGAAUAAUGGUGCAUGGAAAUAAUGGAAUAGGACCUCGGUUCUAUUUUGUUGGUUUUCGGAACACGAGGUAAUGAUUAAGAGGGGACAGACGGGGGCAUUCGUAUUGCGACGCUAGAGGUGAAAUUCUUGGACCGUCGCAGGACGAACUACUGCGAGNNUUUUUUUUUGAAAAANAA
rnacentral:rRNA from 1 species